UUGUAUUCAAUUGAAAAGGUCUACCUCGCACGAGCCAAACAUAAUUAUAGUAUUCAUUUUUUAGCCUAUAAAAAACUGCCACUAAUCCACACUUUUAUCGACCCUUUUCUUCCCCGAUAUAUUUCACAUCUUCAUCCCCCAUCAUUCUAUCAACCCUUUUCUUCCCCGAUUUCAUAUCUUCAUCGCUGGAAGCUUCUUCUUGAUCGAGUAAGUUCUUUUUUUUUUUUUUUUUACAUAUUUUUUGUAAAUUCCCGAUUAAUUAUAGAUUAUUAACUCUCAAAUCUGGCAAAUUCCACCUUACAUCAAUGAAUGUAACCUUAUGAGGUUUCGGAGAAUUCCAGGUGGGAAAGCGGCUGGGAAGUGGAGAUAUAGGGUGAGUGGUUUCCAUGCUAGGCUUGUCAAGUGCGUAGUCUCCGUUGCUGUUAUCUUUUGUUUCGUUGUCAGUUCGACCUUAUAAAUUGCUUGUCAAAACCCUAGUUUUUUAGCUACCCUAGCUAAUUAUUUUUGAAAAAAUCUUUAAAAAAACACAAUUUCUUUUGUGAUUUUUGUUUGAGCCAUGAUGAAUCUAUAUAUAAUAAUAUCAUCGAGAUGCAUUUUCAAGUUCAUAUAUAUAUAUAUAUAUAUAUAUAUAUGAAAGAGUAAAAGAUGUGCACUAUGCGCUGAUUUUUUUUUAUACAUAUCUCAUCAUCAUGGUUUAGUUUCCGAAAUCUCUAACUAUGUAAAGCUAUAGAAUUUCUCUAGACUGCGUUCUCUUUGGUUGUAAAUUUAUCUUGGAAAAAGGAAAAGAUAAACAAAAUUUCACCUUUUAAAUCCUUCUUUCCUUUUUCCACAUUUCCUACUUGACCCUUACUCAUUCCUCAUUUACACUACAAAGGAGGGAUAAUUCCUCAUUUACACUACAAAGAAGGGAUAAUAUUAUCCUCCUUUGUAGUGUAAAUGAAGAAUGAGGUAUGAGUAAGAGUUAAGUAGGAAAUGUGGGAAAAGAAAUGAUCCUUUGCAGUGUAAAUGAGGAAUGAGUAAGGGUCAAGUAGGAAAUGUGGGAAAAGAAAUCAAGAAUUUAAAGGGUGAAAUUUUGUUUAUCCUUCCUUUUCAUAUGAUAAAUUUACAACCAAAGAGAACGCACCCUAAAUUGCGUAUGAUACCUAGAAGAUAAAUAGAAUAUACAAUUUUCUUUUGAAAUGAAAAGUUAGAGAAAGGGUACAAAUUCGCAAACUUAGCCCGGUGCCAAUGAAAAUAUUUAAAUUUAAUUAGUAGCUAUAAUAUUAAUGUUUUCUCCGAUCCCAUUGAAAAAUUGAAGAUCAAUUUAAUAACAAUCAAAGUCCCGCCGUGUUUAACAUCUUGUAAGGUCGAAUACAGAACGAACCAAAAGUAUUACAAGCAAGGACUACUAAUUUGCCAAGACUUUUCAUGGAAAUCAACAGCUUGUAUGGUAGCAAUGCAAGAAAGAUAUAUAUGUAAAUCUUCAACGGUCAAGAUUGCUAGAUUUCAGCGUAAUCCGACGGCUGAGAUUGUACAAAAGGACCAACUGAAGUGUGCUCAUUUGCUCUCUCAACGGCGAGUAGAAAGGUGCCAUGGGAAAAAUCAGAAGAAUCUCAAAGUUCAUGUAUUGUGGGGCAAAAUCUAAAGGUGGUGUGCAAUUCCAGAAAUAUGUGAAAGUUUACGUAUUUAGGGGCAAUUACCCCUUAUUUUUACUACCCUAUACUACACAUUUUUGGUACAUGAUUAUAUGGAAGCAUGUGAGAUACAUGAUUAUUAUAUAUUAAGGCUUGGAGAUAUUGUGCCACUUGCUUUAUAAACUGCGUUUUUUUUUUUAAAAGGGCCGAUUAUACGCCGUCGCCAUAAGCACCCCCACUGCCUACCAAAAGACCGCGCAGCGCCAAACUCUGGUCUGGUCUUUGCUCUGUCCUUUGAGCUGCUCUGCUCCAGUCUCUACUCUGACGUCUAAGUGGUUCUGCUCUGGUCUCUGCCUCUGAGUUGUUCAGCUCUGGUCUCCACUUGCUAAUUUAAGCAUGUGUAGAAAUUAAUUAAAUAUUAUAAGAUAUGCUUGGAGGCUAAGCAAAUGACUUAAAUAAAACAAAUUAUUUCUCUUUCUCUCCCCAAAUGUACCGUCCCCUCUUACCCUCUUUCUCUCUCAAUUUCUUCAUCAUCCUCCAUUGAUGAUCAUGUGCAAAGCUUCAUAGAUCAUUUCUAUACCAUAAGCUUCCAUUAAAACAAGCUCUAAACAUCUAUACACUUCAAAUCAAGAGCAAUUAUGGAAGGUUUUUAAAGCUUGAAGUCAAGAGGAUAUUUUCAUUUUCUACUCAAGAAUCAUUGAGUAAGUAUUAGAUUUACUUAGAUCUAGUUAUAUUUGAGUUAGAUAUGAGUAUAUAUUGAUAGAUCAAGCAAGAAAACAUCACCCACUUCAUUCUUGCAAUUUUCGAAAAUUAGGGUUCAUACCCCUUCAAAACAAAUUCAUCAUCUAAUCUUAAAUUGAGAUUAUAUUCAUGCUAUUGAGAUCCUAUUUAGUCAUCUUUUGUAUGCAAAGAAUGAGUUUAUCUUGAUAUAUGAAUUUUUUGAAAGUGUUAGUUUAUAUGAUUUUGGGAAGUUUAAAGUUCAUGGAUUGAUUGAUGAUUUGAUUAUGGUUAUGAGCUUCUGAGCUUGUUGGGAUGAAAUUUGAUGGACUAAAAUGAUGAUUAGAGGUGAUUGAUGAAGAUUUCAAUGAAUUAGUUUGAUGAGAAAUAGGGUAUACUUGGUUAUAUGCUUAAGUUGGCAAAUUGAUGAGUUAUUUUGGCAAGCUUGGAAAAAGCUACUUUCUUGAUGAAUUUCGACGGAGUUUUUGAUACCCAAAAAUCUUGAAAUGUUAUGAUGAGUUUAGAAUAGUGUUAUGAACUUACUUGUAAAAUUUCAAGUCAUUUCGCCAAUGUUUACUAUUUUUCAAAAAUCAAAUUCUCCGGUUGCACGAAACUGCCGAAUAUGGUAGACUGUGGGAGAACGGUCAUAUCUCUUAAACCACUUGGAGUUUUUCAACCUACUUUUUUUUUAAAUGAAACUAGACUCAGAGGUUUCCAAUAGUAUGAGUCUCAAACCCAGGACAGUUCCGAGGAGAAACAGUUUAUUCUCUUAAGUUAAGGCAGUGCAGAAAGAGUGAAUUGAAUAAGAUUUUGAUUUUGAGAUGAGAUAGAAGUUAAAUAUGAAUAUAUGUGGCUUUGUGAUAAUAAAGUGAGCCUAUAUACUCCCUCCAUACCACCGAAAGUGGGGCGUAUUCCUUUUUGGGCUGUCCCACCGAAAGUGGUGCAUUUCCUUUUUUGGUAAUAAAUUUUACACUACAAACAAUGUGGCCCCCACAUAUUUACACACCUUUACACUACAAUCUUAUUCUCCUUAAAUUCAGUGCCCAAAACAAGCGCACCAGUUUCGGUGGGACAGAGGGAGUAUGAGAUAUGAGACGAAAAGAAUCACCCCUAAAAAUUUUGAGAAGUGGCUUAAUAUAUGCCAAGGGAAGGGGGUAGAUUUUAAUUUUUUCUUGAAUCAUUUGAACCCGUAAUUGUGCUCUUGUGUAUUCUGUGAGCUUAAAACGAAUUUAUGAGAAUUUUCCAACAAUGAAAUCUCGAGGUUAGUUUGUUAAAAAUAUUAUAAAAUGAGAUUACUUAGUUAUGUGAAUUAUUUUUGAAAAAUCAAAUUAAGAAUGUUAUAUAAAAUAUCGUUGGCUUCUAAAUAAAAUUUUUGGGAAUUUUUCCACAGCUAAAUUUUUAUGAUUUUUCAAUAAUGAGUUUGUGUAUGUGAUUGCUAUGUGCUUAUGGAUUAUUUAUCUAUGAGUUGUUCCUUGACAGAGUUUAGACCUAAAUUAGGUGAUAAGUCGAGAAUAGAAUAAUGAUUACUUAAACAGAGUUUUUAUAUGAGAUCGAGAUAGACGGAGUGUAGUGAUGAUGAGAUAAAAUAAUACUAAGAUAGGAAUGGUAUUCUUAGUCAGAAAGUUUCUGACUAAUCUCUUUUAUUCUUAUCAUGAACUACUUCGAUGUGACGGUAUCUAAAGAUACGAGCAAAGGACGGAAGUGAGUCCACCCCGUGUGCUACGAGAGUAAGCUAAAGCCAUCAGGUGGGCAUUAUUUUUACUAUAUGUAUAUAGAGAUCUCCUGCGUAUCGUAGGCCUCUUAUACGAAAUGAAGUAAAUGACAUGAGUUAAUUGUUCAACUUCAGUUUGAUGAAAAUUAUUACUGAUGAUGAUGUUUUUAUGAGUUUGAUAAAUAAUUUGAGAUUUAUUGAUGUUGAACUAAUUGACUUGCCGACUUUUGAUGACGAUGAGCCUGUAUGUCACCCUUACUGAUGAGACGAAUUCGGGUCCUGCCACAAGCGGGAUUGUGUACACAGAGGUGACCGUGAACCGUCUUUCGGGUCGGCCGGUCAGAGGUGAUUGUGAGCUAUUCUUCGGGUCGGCCGGUCAUGGUACUUGAGAAGGAGGCCUACUUCUCAGUACCUUUAAUAAUGAUGAUUUGUAGAUGUGGUACAUACAUAACGAGAAUUUUGACCGGUCAUUUAUUUAUGAUGUUUAUGAUUGUAAACUGCUUACACGGGUUCUUUUGAGUAAAAUCCUCGUGUAUUGCUUAUGUGGAAAGUUCAAUCUAUAGCUCUAAGAGCUAGUUUUCAUUGAUUUUCGGCAUAUGUCCACUGAGUAUUCUGUACUCAGCCUUGCAUGUAUUUCUAAACGUGCAGGAUAAGCGAGGAGGGAGAUUGGACUGGUACUGGCAAGGAUUUUGUUUAGAUGAUCUUCCUUAUGCCGUAAUUAUAUUCCUUGCGGUAACAUCAAGAUGUUGAAGUUUAUUUUGGACUUAAUCAAGAAAUUUACUCUCAGCUAUAUGUCUUCAUACAUAUAGUCUGUUUGCAUUUUGCUGAGACACUCUGUAUAUGCUGAGUCUUUGUGAGUAAUUAGCUAUGUUUGCUUUGUAAAGGUUGACAAGAAUCUCGAUGAUUUAAAAGUUAUAAAGCUAAUAAUUUCUACACUG